rfam:Hordeum vulgare subsp. vulgare, WGS project CAJW01000000 data, contig: morex_contig_1566877
GACAUGCUCCCUCCAUCCAAAAUUACUUGUCAUACAAAUGGAUGUAUCUAGAAUUAAAAUACAUCUAGAUACAUCCAUUCCCACGACAAAUAUUUCUGGACGGAGGGAGUAUUGU